rnacentral:rRNA from 1 species
GAUGAACGCUGGCGGCGUGCCUAAUACAUGCAAGUCGAGCGAACAGACGAGGAGCUUGCUCCUCUGACGUUAGCGGCGGACGGGUGAGUAACACGUGGAUAACCUACCUAUAAGACUGGGAUAACUUCGGGAAACCGGAGCUAAUACCGGAUAAUAUAUUGAACCGCAUGGUUCAAUAGUGAAAGACGGUUUUGCUGUCACUUAUAGAUGGAUCCGCGCCGCAUUAGCUAGUUGGUAAGGUAACGGCUUAACAAGGCAACGAUGCGUAGCCGACCUGAGAGGGUGAUCGGCCACACUGGAACUGAGACACGGUCCAGACUCCUACGGGAGGCAGCAGUAGGGAAUCUUCCGCAAUGGGCGAAAGCCUGACGGAGCAACGCCGCGUGAGUGAUGAAGGUCUUCGGAUCGUAAAACUCUGUUAUUAGGGAAGAACAAAUGUGUAAGUAACUAUGCACGUCUUGACGGUACCUAAUCAGAAAGCCACGGCUAACUACAUG